GGUUGUGGGCAACAUGCAAGGAUAUGAGUCACACAAUGUGACAUCUGCAGGAAUCCAGACACAGGCAAGCACACACGCACAUGUGCCCACACCCACGCACACGUGCACACUAUUAAAUAAGCUUUAUAGGAAUAAAAGAGUGAAUUUGUGUUUGAGAGAAUCUAAAAGACUUAUUGUAAGACAGAUAAAAGGGGGGGGAUCAUAAAAAGGGAGUAUGAUGACAGAUGGGUGUCCAUUUGGACUGAUUUAUUUAGCUGUUUUCUGUAGUAGCACAAAAAAAGAAUCAUUAGUAAAGCAAAGACGACGCAUCUAAUGCACAUAAUCAUGAAACUAAGUUACAUGAAAGUGAAAUUAUUAUGAGUUUGCAGUUUUGACCCUGACUUCACUAAUUCCCUCCCUUCCCAAGUGUGACCGAAGCCACAUCCCUCACGGAUGUGCAUGAAGACGAUUCUCAAACGGGUAUUCCUCACGACGAUACUCUCUGCGGAAUGAGGCAUCCGACGGCCGUGCCCAAGGAGUUGAUCAUGGCAGUGAACGGACUGAACUGAAUCAGGGGAGAAGCGUCUCUACAGUCACCAUUCAACGGAGUGCAAUAACUCGGCCGUUGAAAGAGAGGUUGCGAGCGCCGUGGGAGCGAUGGAUGACGGAUGGCGAACACAGCUUUACUAAGACUCGGAGGCAACGCCGGGCGAGUUACGCCACAAUUGGUGAAUGGAUCGCGGAUUUCAUGAAAGCCGGCAUCAUUUCUGAGGAGCCGCACGGCAACGAGACUGACUCCGACAAUGACGAGAGGGAACCCGGCGUGUUUGAUGGACAACUUGCCCAGCUGAACAUGAGGACUUUGAUGGAUUUGUGGAUGAGGAUUGAUCCAAAAAGAACAAAUAGACCCCGUAACUGAGACUGCGCCUUUUAAUACGGUGCGCCUGAUGGUCGUGAAAAUGCGGUACUCCGGCGGUUUCCUCCCACAUCCCAAGAACAUGCACGAAGAGUGGGAGGAAAUCAAACAGGCCUGUGAUGUUUUGAAGCCCUUCGAGGAAGUCACCACGGAGAUUAGUGAUAUGUUACUGUGUCAAAGGUGAUUCUUCUGGCAAGAGGGUUACAGAAGAUCAUCGCAAACGCACAAGGAGAUGCAAACCUGAUGGAGCUCAUGGUGGACACCAAGUGUACACAGAUGUCACACAGGUUCCACACAAUUGAGGCACAAGUUUUGCUUUCUGAAGCGGCAGCACUUGACCCCAGGUUCAAAAGGAAGGCCGUCGGCAGUGAUGGUGAUGCAGAUAGGCCCUAUCAACAUUUCAGAAAUGCUGCAGCAAAGGUGAACCUCGUCCACCAGCAGGCUGAAGGAGAAGUGGGAGCAGCAGCACAGCCGCCAAGUUCCAGUCGGGACAGUGAAAUUUGAUCGGCAGGUCUCAGGGCUUGUGAGCCCCUGUCGAAAUCCAGUGGCAGAUACAAUGCUGGAAGUCUGUGGAUUUGUGGAGGAGCCACUUAUAACACAAUCUUCAAACCACACACCAAUGGUGGCAAAGUAGAGGUGUGGUCUAUCCAAGACUUUCUGAAGUUAGGAAUAAGAGGCUGUGUAUUGUGGCCACAUCUCUCCCAUCUGGGAGGAUUUUCAGCAAGAUGGGGCAGAUAAUAUCAGCGAGACGAAAUCGGCUCAGUUCAUCAAAAGUUAGCCAACUUGUAUUUUUAAAUGCAAAUCUGGAGUAGGGGCAAUAGAGUACAAUGUGCCAGGAAUUGUUUUCAUUUGUUUGAUACUUUUGGUGUGUUUGUUUGUUUGUUUUUGUAUUCUUCAAAAUAUUUUUGUUUUGUUUUUCAUUGCAUAUUUAAGUUGAUAUUUUCCUUUUUAUAUAUUUCGAAUAUAUGCUAUAUAAUUUACAUUUUUGUGGCAUUUCUGGCUCUUGAUUUAACAUUUGUUUUUGCACUAAAUGUAAAU